CGCGGCCUACGGGAGGCAGCAGUAGGGAAUCUUUCACAAUGGGCGAAAGCCUGAUGGAGCAACGCCGCGUGCAGGAUGAAGGCCUUCGGGUUGUAAACUGCUUUUAUAAGCGAGAAAUAUAAUGGUAACUUAUGAAUAAGGAUCGGCUAACUCCGUGCCAGCAGCCGCGGUAAUACGGAGGGUGCAAGCGUUACUCGGAAUCACUGGGCGUAAAGAGCGCGUAGGCGGGAUAGCAAGUCAGAUGUGAAAUCCUAUGGCUUAACCAUAGAACUGCAUUUGAAACUGUUAUUCUAGAGUAUGGGAGG
rnacentral:rRNA from 1 species